GACAGAGGGUGCAAACGUUGUUCGGAAUUACUGGGCGUAAAGCGCGUGUAGGCGGCUUUGCAAGUCGGAUGUGAAAUCCCACGGCUCAACCGUGGAAGUGCAUUCGAAACUGCAAGGCUAGAGUCCUGGAGAGGAAGGUGGAAUGCUUGGUGUAGAGGUGAAAUUCGUAGAUAUCAAGCGGAACACCGGUGGCGAAGGCGGCCUUCUGGACAGUGACUGACGCUGAGACGGCGAAAGCGUGGGGAGCAAACAGG
rnacentral:rRNA from 1 species